rnacentral:rRNA from 1 species
AUACGGGGGGGGCUAGCGUUAAUCGGAAUUACUGGGCGUAAAGCGUACGUAGGCGGUUGGUUAAGUUAGAUGUGAAAGCCCCGGGCUUAACCUGGGAACUGCAUUUAAAACUGGCGAACUAGAGUUGAGUAGAGGGGAGUGGAAUUUCAGGUGUAGCGGUGAAAUGCGUAGAGAUCUGAAGGAACACCAGUGGCGAAGGCGACUCCCUGGACUCGAACUGACGCUGAGGUACGAAAGCGUGGGUAGCAAACGGGAUUAGAAACCCCUGUAGUCC